UAGGUCCUACGGGGCGCAGCAGUGAGGGAUAUUGGUCAAUGGGGGAAACCCUGAACCAGCAACGCCGCGUGAGGGAAGACGGUUUUCGGAUUGUAAACCUCUGUCCUCUGUGAAGAUAAUGACGGUAGCAGAGGAGGAAGCUCCGGCUAACUACGUGCCAGCAGCCGCGGUAAUACGUAGGGAGCGAGCGUUGUCCGGAUUUACUGGGUGUACAGGGUGCGUAGGCGGGUAAGCAAGCCAGAAGUGAAAUCCAUGGGCUUAACCCAUGAACUGCUUUUGAAAAUGUUUAUCUUGAGUGAAGUAUG
rnacentral:rRNA from 1 species